UACGUAGGGUGCAAGCGUUGUCCGGAAUUAUUGGGCGUAAAGAGCUCGUAGGCGGUUUGUCGCGUCUGCUGUGAAAACCCGAGGCUCAACCUCGGGCCUGCAGUGGGUACGGGCAGACUAGAGUGCGGUAGGGGAGAUUGGAAUUCCUGGUGUAGCGGUGGAAUGCGCAGAUAUCAGGAGGAACACCGAUGGCGGAAGGCAGAUCUCUGGGCCGUAACUGACGCUGAGGAGCGAAAGCGUGGGGGAGCGAACAGG
rnacentral:rRNA from 1 species